rnacentral:rRNA from 1 species
UACGUAGGUGGCAAGCGUUGUCCGGAAUUAUUGGGCGUAAAGCGCGCGCAGGCGGCCUUUUAAGUCUGAUGUGAAAGCCCACGGCUCAACCGUGGAAGGUCAUUGGAAACUGAAAGGCUUGAGUACAGAAGAGGAAAGCGGAAUUCCACGUGUAGCGGUGAAAUGCGUAGAGAUGCGGAGGAACACCGAUGGCGAAGGCAGCCCCCUGGGCUGACACUGACGCUCAGGCACGAAAGCGUGGGGAGCAAACAGG